rnacentral:rRNA from 1 species
UACGGAGGGUGCGAGCGUUGUCCGGAAUCAUUGGGCGUAAAGGGCGCGUAGGUGGCCCGGUCAGUCCGUGGUGAAAGCGCGGGGCUCAACCCUGCGUCGGCCAUGGAUACUGCCGCGGCUCGAGCACUGUAGAGGCAGGCGGAAUUCCGGGUGUAGCGGUGAAAUGCGCAGAUAUCAGGAGGAACACCGGUGGCGAAGGCGGGUCUCUGGGCCGAUACUGACGCUGAGGAGCGAAAGCGUGGGGAGCGAACAGG